UACGUAGGGGCCGAGCGUUGUCCGGAGUUAUUGGGCGUAAAGCGGGCGCAGGCGGCUUCGCGCGCCCGACGUGAAAGCCCCCGGCUUAACCGGGGAGAGUCGUUGGGGACGGCGGAGCUUGAGGGCGGGAGAGGUCGGUGGAAUUCCCGGUGUAGUGGUGAAAUGCGUAGAGAUCGGGAGGAACACCUGUGGCGAAGGCGGCCGACUGGGCCGACCCUGACGCUGAGGCGCGAAGGCGUGGGGAGCGAACGGG
rnacentral:rRNA from 1 species